GACGAACGCUGGCGGCGUGCUUAACACAUGCAAGUCGAACGGAAAGGCCCUGCUUUUGUGGGGUGCUCGAGUGGCGAACGGGUGAGUAACACGUGAGUAACCUGCCCCUGACUUUGGGAUAACUUCAGGAAACUGGGGCUAAUACCUGAUAGGAGCUCCUGCUGCAGGGGGGGGGUUGGAACGUUUCGGCGGAUGGGGAUGGACUCGCGGCUUAUCAGCUUGUUGGUGGGGUAGUGGCUUACCAAGGCUUUGACGGGUAGCCGGCCUGAGAGGGUGACCGGCGACAUUGGGACUGAGAGACGGCCCAGACGCCUAUGGGAGGCAGCGGUGGGGAAUAUUGUACAAUGGGCGGACGCCUGAUGCAGCAACGCCGCGUGCGGGAUGACGGCCUUCUGGUUGUAAACCGCUUUCGCCUGUGACGAAGCGUGAGUGACGGUAAUGGGUAAAGAAGCACCGGCUAACUACGUG
rnacentral:rRNA from 1 species